AGUGAACGCUGGCGGUAGGCCUAACACAUGCAAGUCGAACGGCAGCACAGUAAGAGCUUGCUCUUACGGGUGGCGAGUGGCGGACGGGUGAGGAAUACAUCGGAAUCUACUUUUUCGUGGGGGAUAACGUAGGGAAACUUACGCUAAUACCGCAUACGACCUACGGGUGAAAGCAGGGGAUCUUCGGACCUUGCGCGAUUGAAUGAGCCGAUGUCGGAUUAGCUAGUUGGCGGGGUAAAGGCCCACCAAGGCGACGAUCCGUAGCUGGUCUGAGAGGAUGUUAGCCAACACGGAAACGAGGAAACGGCCAGGCCCCCUAGGGGGGGAAGAAGGGGGGAUUUUGGGCAAAGGGGCGAAAGCCUGACCAAGCAAUACGGGGUGGGGGAGGAAGGCCUUGGGGUUGUAAAGCCUUUUUGUUGGGAAAAAAAAGCAGCGGGUUAAUACCCCGCUGUUCGAACGGUACCAAAAGAAUAAGCACGGGUUAACUUCUG
rnacentral:rRNA from 1 species